rnacentral:rRNA from 1 species
GAGGAACGCUGGCGGCGUGCUUAACACAUGCAAGUCGAGCGGUAAGGCCUCUUCGGGGGUACACGAGCGGCGAACGGGUGAGUAACACGUGGGUGACCUGCCCUUCACUCUGGGAUAAGCCUGGGAAACUGGGUCUAAUACCGGAUAUUCAUUGCCUGUCGCAUGGUGGGUGGUGGAAAGUUUUUUCGGUGGGGGAUGGGCCCGCGGCCUAUCAGCUUGUUGGUGGGGUGAUGGCCUACCAAGGCGACGACGGGUAGCCGGCCUGAGAGGGCGAACGGCCACGCUGGGACUGGGCCACGGCCCAGACUCCUACGGGAGGCAGCAGUGGGGAAUAUUGCGCAAUGGGCGGAAGCCUGACGCAGCGACGCCGCGUGGGGGAUGACGGCCUUCGGGUUGUAAACCUCUUUCGCCAGGGACGAAGCUUUUGUGACGGUACCUGGAUAAGAAGCACCGGCCAACUACGUGCCAGCAGCCGCAGUAAAAC